CAAACAUGCUCAGGCUCCAGGUGUCUUUGGUUUCAAAGAGUAAGAGUGAAGAGGGAGGAGUGCACUCCCAGAGCACAAGCUGUCCCUGUUCCAGCGCUGGUUGACACCCAUUGCAACCACCUACCCUGAGGUGCUGUAAUCCUCAUCAUAAGCCAGUUUCCUGAAAGUCAAAACCUGGAGAUCAUCUCAAAUCAAAGGCAAUCUUUAAAGGGACUCAGGAAGCAACACAGGCAUUUUUCAAAAAGAUGAUGACCUAGUUCUGGAAAUCACCUCCUUCGUUCAGUCAGAAGUUUACCAAGACGGCUGAGCACAUGCACGAUAUGAAGAUUGAUCCAUGGACUCAGCUUGAGACACGUGUCUUGCUUUAUGAAGGUGAUCAUGAUAUAUUGGGGAAAAUAAGGGGGUUGUAAUCAAAUGUGUGUUGUUAUUCUGACUUUACCCCUUGUUAGCUGUGUAACCUUAGGACAAGUCCAUGGACUUUGCUGAGAUCCAGUUUAUGUAUCUGUGUAAUUCAAGAUAUCGAUCUUGCAAGAUGUGACGUUAAUAUAUGUAAAAUUCUUGACAAAAUAUGGCUUAAGGAAUACUGGGGCACGUUGAGAAGCAGAGUGAGUUUUUAGAGAUUUUUAUAUGGCAGUCAUCAUGCUUAUGUGUCCCUAUUUUCUAUAACCUUCCAUCUUCAGCUUCCCUAGGAUGUCUGGGGUUGGAAGCUAGGCUAGCCCAGACUGUCACUGAGGAGAGCAGAGCUGGAGCUCUCAUUCUGAAAGGUCAGUCUGGAACGCCUAGAGCCUUAUUGAGGACAACAGCUGUAGCUGCAAAUCCACACAGCAAGGCAAAGCAACUGUACCAUGAUUAAGGAUCGGAACCCAAAGGAGUGAAGCAAGGCGGAUGAAGAAAAAGGAUAAGGAGGGAGAAGCAAGAUGGUUUCAGUGUUCAAGAUGGAGUUUUCAAACAAGAAUUAAAGCAGGAAUGUACUCAAAUUUUUGUCCUUUUGGUGCAUCAAAUAUGCAUUCAAGGCUGCCCUGGUGGCUCAGUGGUAAAGAAUCCGCCUGCCAAUGCAGGAGACAGGGGUUCCAUCCCCUGAUCCAGGAAGAUCCCACAUGCUGUGGAGCAACAAAGCCCGUGUGCUACAAGUGAGUCCACACUCUGGAGCCCAGGAACUGCAAAUACUGAGCCCACGUGCCGCAACCACUGAAGCCACAUGCCCUGGAGCCUGUGCUCUGCAAGAGAAGCCACUGCAAUGAGAAGCCCGAGCACCGCAACUAGAGAGCAGCCCCCGCUAGCCACAAGUAGAAAAAAGCCCAUGCAGCAACGAAGACCCAGCACAGCCCAAAAGAAAGAAUCAAAUAAAUAAAAUUAUAUAAAAUCA
ensembl:lncRNA